rnacentral:rRNA from 1 species
ACCGCUGGUGUUCGGGUUGUGUCGCCAGACGCAUUGCCCGGUAGCUAUGUUCGGACAGGAUAACCGCUGAAAGCAUCUAAGCGGGAAGCCCCUUCCAAGAUGAGAUCUCCCUGGACCCUUGAGGUCCCUGAAGAGCCGUUCAAGACCAGGACGUUGAUAGGUCGGGUGUGUAAGCGCUGCGAGGCGUUGAGCUAACCGAUACUAAUUGCUCGUGAGGCUUGACUAUAUAACACCC